rnacentral:rRNA from 1 species
UCCGGUUGAUCCUGCCAGAGGCCACUGCUAUCGGGGUUUGACUAAGCCAUGCGAGUCGAGAGGUGUAAGACCUCGGCGUACUGCUCAGUAACACGUGGACAAUCUGCCCUGAAGUGGAGGAUAAUCCCGGGAAACUGGGGGUAAUACUCCAUAGUUCGUGCUGACUGGAAUGUUAUGCGAACGAAAGAUCCGUCGCUUCAGGAUGAGUCUGCGGCCGAUUAGGUAGUUGUUGGGGUAACGGCCCAACAAGCCUGUCAUCGGUACGGGUUGUGGGAGCAAGAGCCCGGAGAUGGAUUCUGAGACACGAAUCCAGGCCCUACGGGGCGCAGCAGGCGCGAAAACUUUACCAUGCGGGCAACCGUGAUAAGGAAACCCCGAGUGCCAGCACAGGCUGGCUGUCCGCCAGUGUAAAUAACUGGUGAAGAAAGGGCCGGGCAAGACCGGUGCCAGCCGCCGCGGUAAUACCGGCGGCUCGAGUGGUGGCCACUAUUACUGGGCUUAAAGGGUCCGUAGCUUGAUAUGCAAGUCUCUUGAGAAAUCCGCCAGCUUAACUGGUGGGCGUUCAGGGGAAACUGCAUUUCUAGGGACCGGGAGAGGUGAGAGGUACUGCCGGGGUAGGAGUGAAAUCCUGUAAUCCCGGUGGGACCACCUAUGGCGAAGGCUUCUCACCAGAACGGGUCCGACAGUGAGGGACGAAAGCUGGGGGAGCAAACCGGAUUAGAUACCCGGGUAGUCCCAGCUGUAAACGAUGCGCGUUAGGUGUGUCAGUGACCACGUGUCACUGAGGUGCCGAAGGGAAACCGUGAAACGCGCCGCCUGGGGAGUACGGUCGCAAGGCUGAAACUUAAAGGAAUUGGCGGGGGAGCAC